CCUACGGGAGGCAGCAGUGGGGAAUAUUGGGCAAUGGACGCAAGUCUGACCCAGCAACGCCGCGUGAAGGAAGAAGGCUUUCGGGUUGUAAACUUCUUUUAAGGGGGAAGAGCAGAAGACGGUACCCCUUGAAUAAGCCACGCCUAACUACGUGCCAGCAGCCGCGGUAAUACGUAGGUGGCAAGCGUUGUCCGGAUUUACUGGGUGUAAAGGGCGUGCAGCCGGAGAGACAAGUCAGCUGUGAAAUCCACGUGCUCAAACCGUGAACUGCCUUUGAAACUGGUUCUCUGGAGUGUGGGAGAGGUAAGCGGAAUUCCUGGUGUAGCGGUGAAAUGCGUAGAUAUAAGGAAGAACACCAGUGGCGAAGGCGGAUUACUGGACGAUAACUGACGGUGAGGCGCGAAAGCGUGGGGAGCAAACAGGAUUAGAUACCCCAGUAGUC
rnacentral:rRNA from 1 species